rnacentral:lncRNA from 1 species
CAAGCCUUGAAGCGCCACAAAGCCACCACCAAAAGAGGUGGAAGCGGCGGAGAGGAGACAGGUAAGGGGAAAGGAACAAUCUCCGAUCACUGCAUAAACCCACCUCACCCCGUUCGCUACCUCAGACCCAAGGAGAGAGAUCGAGAGGCCCAGCGAGAGAAGCUAGGCUUGAUCAGCAAGGCGAGGCAACGAGAGAUCGACAUCCAGAAAAAGCUCGGACCUUUCACGACGACGAGAGCCACCGAGGAGCCGAUCAGGAUCGGGGUCGCGGGGUUGGAUUACGUCGCGUUGGGGAUUUUUACUGAAGACGAGUUGCCCAAGUACAAGGUGACGGUGGAGGACGGGAAGAGGCUGGCGAAGGAGUACAGCAGAGUGCUUAUGAAGGAGCAUAGGGAGAAGCGUGCGGCGGAGAUUGGUCUGAUGAAGAUGAGGAAAGCUGCGUUGGAGGCGUUGCCGGAGGAUCUGAAGAAGGCGGCUUUGGAGCGUGAUACGACGACGCCGUUUCCGGUGAUUCGGGGGACGGCUACGGUGUUGCCUCCUGUUGAAGGGUAUUUGGAGAGGAUCAUGAAUGCGGCUAAUAAGAAGAGCUCGAGUAAAGAGAAGCUUAGAUGAUCUAAUUUUGGGUUUUGAUCAAAAGAACAACUUUGAACUUUUGUCUUUACUUUGUUGAUCCUUCUGAAAUCAAAUGGCCAUAGUGUAUUUACUACACUCUAUGGUAGAACACUAGUUGAAGCUUAUAGAGUUUAAAUCUUUUUCAGACUGUUGAAGCUCAUUCUUUUUUUCUACUUUUUCCUGUCUGAGAUUGAGUUACUGGUAAUAAUUGGAAUCAUCCUCUUGUUUGAGACUAACUCUUUUCUAUCUACUUUCUUGGUCUAAUUUGUAUAACCUCUCCAGAUUAUAAGUGAUCUGUAAUUAGCAAUAUAGACUAACAAUCACAAUACCAAGAUUACACUUGCUUAAUUCAUAUGAGAAUUGGGUUUUGUGCUUUGUAUUAGUUUGUGAUAUGAGAAAUAUAGUUUAACUGAAGUUUUGCAGAAUUGUAUCUAGGAGAUGAUGAUAUAUUUACUAUUUUACUGUUUCUGCUUGUAUUGCUAUAUCCAAAUGCGUUGUAUUAAUUUGCUCGAAGUUCUAUAAAUCCCCGUAGAGUGCAAUGGCAAGAGUUCUAAAGCUUCAAGACCACGAUUAUUCUCCACGGAAAAUCAUAGUUUGAGAGCUGACGUAGACUAGUCUAGCUAAUGGCUAAAAUUUAUCUACUUAUAAAGAUUUAUAAAAUAAAUAUAUUAUAAUAAUUUAUUAAUAUUUUAUUUUAAUUCUAAAUAAUUUUAUAAUUAUAUUGUAAUUAAUAUGUAUAAUUUAUUUUAAAUAAUAUUAUGUCAUUUUAAUUUACAUAUGAUUCGGAUAUAUAAUAUCUUAUGUUUGGUAAUUAGUUAGAUAUAUUGGAUAACAUAACUUUUUCAAAGUCAACCAUAAUAUUUUUGUUCUAUAGAUUAAAAAUUUUGAUUAUUUUUUAUUUUCAUUUAAUUUGAAUCUUGAAAUUUUGAUUAUAUUUGUUUAGAUAAUCUUAAUAUAUAAUUAGAAUACAAAUCUCUGAAAGUUUCUGAUUAUUCAGAAUCUCAAAUCAAUGAUCAUAAUUUUCAGAGAUUUGUCUUAAUUGUCAUUGUAAACCAAAAGAAAAAAAAAAGCCACAAAUAGUGAGCAUAUUUUUAAGUUGCCUUUCAUCCGGUUAUGAUUUACCCCCACGUUUCAACUUAACUAUGAUUUAAACGACGACGUAUUCAAAAAACCCUAACCCCUUCCUAAUCAUUUCAACCUUCAUUUUUUUUUUCCAUUCAAUCAGAGAGGUCUCGACGGAAUCAAAAUCUCAGUCAUGAUCCGAUUCACAAGAACAAAACCCAUACUCGACUCACUGAGUCACGACCUCCUCCAGAAAUGCCACGCGAGCGGAACCCCCAAGGGAAAAUCCAAGCUCAAGACAAUCCAAGCCUUGAAGCGCCACAAAGCCACCACCAAAAGAGGUGGAAGCGGCGGAGAGGAGACAGGUAAGGGGAAAGGAACAAUCUCCGAUCACUGCAUAAACCCACCUCACCCCGUUCGCUACCUCAGACCCAAGGAGAGAGAUCGAGAGGCCCAGCGAGAGAAGCUAGGCUUGAUCAGCAAGGCGAGGCAACGAGAGAUCGACAUCCAGAAAAAGCUCGGACCUUUCACGACGACGAGAGCCACCGAGGAGCCGAUCAGGAUCGGGGUCGCGGGGUUGGAUUACGUCGCGUUGGGGAUUUUUACUGAAGACGAGUUGCCCAAGUACAAGGUGACGGUGGAGGACGGGAAGAGGCUGGCGAAGGAG